rnacentral:pre_miRNA from 1 species
GAAGUCAGUGUACUCUGCCUGGCCGGCGCUGCUGCGAGUCUAGCUAGGUUGCGGUGCACUGCUUC